AUUGAACGCUGGCGGCAUGCUUUACACAUGCAAGUCGAACGGUAACAGGCCUUCGGGUGCUGACGAGUGGCGAACGGGUGAGUAAUGCAUCGGAACGUACCCAGUGGCGGGGGAUAACGCAGCGAAAGCUGUGCUAAUACCGCAUGUGAUCUGAGGAUGAAAGCGGGGGACCGAGCAGCAAUGUUUGGCCUCGCGCCUUUGGAGCGGCCGAUGUCGGAUUAGCUAGUUGGUGGGGUAAAGGCCUACCAAGGCGACGAUCCGUAGCUGGUCUGAGAGGACGACCAGCCACACUGGGACUGAGACACGGCCCAGACUCCUACGGGAGGCAGCAGUGGGGAAUUUUGGGCAAUGGGCGCAAGCCUGAUCCAGCAAUGCCGCGUGCGGGAAGAAGGCCUUCGGGUUGUAAACCGCUUUUGGCAGGAACGAAACGGUGUCCGCUAAUACCGGGCGCUAAUGACGGUACCUGCAGAAUAAGCACCGGCUAACUACGUG
rnacentral:rRNA from 1 species